GAGUUCCAUCCCUCAAUUGUGAUGAAAUCGUUGUAAGAAGCAGCAAUGAGAACAUGGGAGGCUUCCUAUGUUCUAAUUUAGAAGAAUGAAGUGAGAGCGGGGAGAAGCCAGACGCCGACUCUUUCCCCUGAAGGAGGAGUGAUGCAGGCAAUGUGGGGUAUGGGGUGGCGGUUCCCUACACUGCCCACCAGAUUUGCCACACUGGAUGGCAAAUCCCUCCGCUUUUGCCCGCCAUGUGAAUCUCAAUUUGAUGAGGUCCUUAGUCAUCUUCCAGAGCUUAUGCUGGAUUUUUAUAGGAGAUGUGACCAAGAAGACAGGGGAACAUUGCAUGGAAAGAAACUCUGGGAAAUAUAGCUGUGGUUUCUAACAGAACAUUUACAUAUCGUCACCAAACUUCAAUCAACAAGAUCUUUUGGAAGAAACUAUGAUUAUUCAAUAGCGAUAAAACAAAUCAAGAUCCUGAUAACCUAAUAAAUUUAGAGUACAGGUCA